GGGCGUGUAGCUCAUUUGGUAGAGCGCUCGCUUAGCAUAUAUGCGAGAGGUACUGGGUUCGAUUCCCAGCUCGUCCA
rnacentral:tRNA from 1 species